rnacentral:rRNA from 1 species
GCAUAUCAAUAAGCGGAGGAAAAGAAACCAACAGGGAUUGCCCUAGUAACGGCGAGUGAAGCGGCAUCAGCUCAAAUUUGAAAUCUGGCUCUUUCAGAGUCCGAGUUGUAAUUUGCAGAGGGCGCUUUGGUGUCGGCAGCGGUCCAAGUUCCUUGGAACAGGACGUCACAGAGGGUGAGAAUCCCGUACGUGGUCGCUGACCUACACCGUGUAAAGCCCCUUCGACGAGUCGAGUUGUUUGGGAAUGCAGCUCUAAAUGGGAGGUAAAUUUCUUCUAAAGCUAAAUACUGGCCAGAGACCGAUAGCGCACAAGUAGAGUGAUCGAAAGAUGAAAAGCACUUUGGAAAGAGAGUCAAACAGCACGUGAAAUUGUUGAAAGGGAAGCGCUUGCAGCCAGACUUGCUUGUAGUUGCUCAUCCGGGCUUUUGCCCGGUGCACUCUUCUGCGAGCAGGCCAGCAUCAGUUUGGACGGUUGGAUAAAGGCCUCUGUCACGUACCUUCUCUCGGGAAGGCCUUAUAGGGGAGGCGUCAUGCAACCAGUCUGGACUGAGGUCCGCGCAUCUGCUAGGAUGCUGGCGUAAUGGCUGUAAGCGGUCCGUGUUUCAAGACGG